rnacentral:ncRNA from 1 species
UAUGAUAGAGGCGCGGGCUUCAUCAGUAGUUUCUGCUGUAAAGAGGAUUACAGUGUUUAUGACAUUACUCUUUAAUCACCUGGCAGAUUGGCUGGAAUGAAAGGGGAGACCGCCGAAGGAUUUUCUGCUUUGCCAUGAGAGUGGAAUCCUGGGCUGAAGCAGAAUAUGCGGCAGACUGUCACUGUUGUGGAGCGCUAUCGA